CCUACGUGUGGCAGCAGUGAGGAAUAUUGGUCAAUGGGCGCGAGCCUGAACCAGCCAAGUAGCGUGAAGGAUGACUGCCCUACGGGUUGUAAACUUCUUUUAUAAAGGAAUAAAGUGAGGCACGUGUGCCUUUUUGUAUGUACUUUAUGAAUAAGGAUCGGCUAACUCCGUGCCAGCAGCCGCGGUACUACGGAGGCUCCGAGCGUUAUCCGGAUUUAUUGGGUUUAAAGGGCGCGUAGAUGGGUUGUUAAGUCAGUUGUGAAAGUUUGCGGCUCAACCGUAAAAUUGCAAUUGAUACUGGCAGUCUUGAGUAUAGUUGAGGUAGGCGGAAUUCGUGGUGUAGCGGUGAAAUGCUUAGAUAUCACGAAGAACUCCGAUUGCGAAGGCAGCUUACUAAACUGCCACUGACAUUGAUGCUCGAAAGUGUGGGUAUCAAACAGGAUUAGAUACCCCUGUAGUC
rnacentral:rRNA from 1 species